UCUUCCACAAUGGGCGAAAGCCUGAUGGAGCAACGCCGCGUGCAGGAUGAAGGCCUUCGGGUCGUAAACUGCUUUUAUGAGUGAAGAAUAUGACGGUAACUCAUGAAUAAGCACCGGCUAACUACGUGCCAGCAGCCGCGGUCAUACGUAGGGUGCAAGCAUUAUCCGGAGUGACUGGGCGUAAAGAGUUGCGUAGGUGGUUUGUUAAGUGAAUAGUGAAAUCUGUCGGCUCAACCGGUAGACUAUUAUUCAAACUGGCAGACUCGAGAAUGGUAGAGGUAACUGGAAUUUCUUGUGUAGGAGUGAAAUCCGUAGAUAUAAGAAGGAACACCAAUGGCGUAGGCAGGUUACUGGACCAUUUCUGACACUGAGGCACGAAAGCGUGGGGAGCGAACGG
rnacentral:rRNA from 1 species